UACGGAGGAUGCGAGCGUUAUCCGGAUUUAUUGGGUUUAAAGGGUGCGUAGGCGGGCUGUUAAGUCAGCGGUCAAAUGUCGGGGCUCAACCCCGACAAGCCGUUGAAACUGGCUUGCUAGAGUGGGCGAGAAGUAUGCGGAAUGCGUGGUGUAGCGGUGAAAUGCAUAGAUAUCACGCAGAACUCCGAUUGCGAAGGCAGCAUACCAGACUGCGACUGACGCUGAAGCACGAGAGCGUGGGUAGCGAACAGG
rnacentral:rRNA from 1 species